rnacentral:rRNA from 1 species
CAGGGGGGGCAAGCGUUGUUCGGAAUUACUGGGCGUAAAGGGCUCGUAGGUGGCCAACUAAGUCGGACGUGAAAUCCCUCAGCUUAACUGGGGAACUGCAUCCGAUACUGGAUGGCUUGAGUUUGGGAGAGGGAUGCGGAAUUCCAGGUGUAGCGGUGAAAUGCGUAGAUAUCUGGAGGAACACCGGUGGCGAAGGCGGCAUCCUGGACCAACACUGACACUGAGGAGCGAAAGCCAGGGGAGCAAACGGG